rnacentral:rRNA from 1 species
UACGUAGGGGGCAAGCGUUGUCCGGAUUCAUUGGGCGUAAAGAGCGUGUAGGCGGCCAGGUAGGUCGGUUGUGAAAACUGGAGGCUCAACCUUCAGAGGUCGACCGAAACCAUCUGGCUAGAGUCCGGGAGAGGAGAGUGGAAUUCCUGGUGUAGCGGUGAAAUGCGCAGAUAUCAGGAAGAACACCCGUGGCGAAAGCGGCUCUCUGGGACGGUACUGACGCUGAGAAGCGAAAGCAUGGGGAGCGAACAGG